rnacentral:rRNA from 1 species
GACGAACGCUGGCGGCGUGCUUAACACAUGCAAGUCGAACGGAAAGGCCCUGCUUUGGUGGGGUGCUCGAGUGGCGAACGGGUGAGUAACACGUGAGUAACCUGCCCUUGACUUUGGGAUAACUUCAGGAAACUGGGGCUAAUACCGGAUAGGAGCUCCUGCUGCAUGGUGGGGGUUGGAAAGUUUCGGCGGUUGGGGAUGGACUCGCGGCUUAUCCGCUUGUUGGUGGGGUAGUGGCUUACCAAGGGUUUGCCGGGUAUCCGGCAUGAGAGGGGGACCGGCGACAUUGGGACUGAGAUACGGCCCAGACUCCUACGGGAGGCAGCAGGGGGGAAUAUUGCACAAUGGGCGGAAGCCUGAUGCAGAAACGCCGCGUGCGGGAUGAAGGCCUGCGGGUUGUAAACCGCUUUCGCCUGUGACGAAGCGUGAGUGACGGUAAUGGGUAAAGAAGCACCGGCUAACUACGUG